UACGGGGGGAGCAAGCGUUGUUCGGAUUUACUGGGCGUAAAGGGCGCGUAGGCGGUCGUGACAAGUCACUUGUGAAAUCUCCGGGCUUAACUCGGAACGGUCAAGUGAUACUGUCGGACUAGAGUACAGAAGGGGCAACUGGAAUUCUCGGUGUAGCGGUGAAAUGCGCAGAUAUCGGGAAGAACACCCGUGGCGAAGGCGGUUCUCUGGGACGGUACUGACGCUGAGACGCGAAAGCGUGGGGAGCGAACAGG
rnacentral:rRNA from 1 species